rnacentral:rRNA from 1 species
CCUACGGGCGGCUGCAGUGGGGAAUAUUGCACAAUGGGGGAAACCCUGAUGCAGCGACGCCGCGUGAGUGAAGAAGUAAUUCGUUAUGUAAAGCUCUAUCAGCAGGGAAGUAAAUGACGGUACCUGAGUAAGAAGCCCCGGCUAACUACGUGCCAGCAGCCGCGGUAAUACGUAGGGGGCAAGCGUUAUCCGGAUUUACUGGGUGUAAAGGGAGCGUAGACGGCAGUGCAAGUCUGGAGUGAAAGGCGGGGGCUCAACCCCCGGACUGCUCUGGAAACUGUACGGCUGGAGUGCGGGAGAGGUAAGUGGAAUUCCUAGUGUAGCGGUGAAAUGCGUAGAUAUUAGGAGGAACACCAGUGGCGAAGGCGGCUUACUGGACUGUAACUGACGUUGAGGCUCGAAAGCGUGGGGAGCAAACAGGAUUAGAUACCCCUGUAGUC